rnacentral:lncRNA from 1 species
CUUGCAAGUAUGUAAUGCUGAUAAAGUCAAAAAUAUCUCAUCAGAUGGUUAAAAAUUUAGUUUUGUUUGCUGUGCUACCAUUCUAAAAUGCACUUUUCUAGUUGGACACGAAAUCCAAUGCCUUAACAUGCUUGAAGUUUGCUUAGAUUUACCCCUUGAAUGUUUUUUCUUACAAUGGAUGCACGUGGCAUAGAAUGUGUCAUUUUCUUCAAUUUUUUCAAAGUCAUCCCAAACUUGUGAUGUUUUACUUCUUUUUGGAAUGUGGAAUUCAUCAUCACCUUUAUUUUGCUCUCCUUCUUUUACAUGUUUCUUCAUAGCAUUCACUUGUGUUCCUUCAUUCUCAACUGGAGUUUUUUCAGUUCCUUGAUCAGUCACAUGUAUUUCUGGAUUUGGAGUUGUGUUGUUGCUAAUAAAAAUAGGACUACCGAGCAAUAUUGGAGAGGAUGAACCUGCAUUUGAUAGCUGAGGGAUAGAAGAAACCUCAGGUGG